rnacentral:rRNA from 2 species
AGACCCGAAACCCGGUGAUCUAGCCAUGGGCAGGUUGAAGGUUGGGUAACACUAACUGGAGGACCGAACCGACUAAUGUUGAAAAAUUAGCGGAUGACCUGUGGCUGGGGGUGAAAGGCCAAUCAAACCGGGAGAUAGCUGGUUCUCCCCGAAAGCUAUUUAGGUAGCGCCUCGUGAACUCAUCUCCGGGGGUAGAGCACUGUUUCGGCUAGGGGGCCAUCCCGGCUUACCAACCCGAUGCAAACUGCGAAUACCGGAGAAUGUUAUCACGGGAGACACACGGCGGGUGCUAACGUCCGUCGUGAAGAGGGAAACAACCCAGACCGCCAGCUAAGGUCCCAAAGUCAUGGUUAAGUGGGAAACGAUGUGGGAAGGCCCAGACAGCCAGGAUGUUGGCUUAGAAGCAGCCAUCAUUUAAAGAAAGCGUAAUAGCUCACUGGUCGAGUCGGCCUGCGCGGAAGAUGUAACGGGGCUAAACCAUGCACCGAAGCUGCGGCAGCGACACUUUAGUGUUGUUGGGUAGGGGAGCGUUCUGUAAGCCGUUGAAGGUGUCCUGUGAGGGGUGCUGGAGGUAUCAGAAGUGCGAAUGCUGACAUAAGUAACGAUAAAGCGGGUGAAAAGCCCGCUCGCCGGAAGACCAAGGGUUCCUGUCCAACGUUAAUCGGGGCAGGGUGAGUCGACCCCUAAGGCGAGGCCGAAAGGCGUAGUCGAUGGGAAACGGGUUAAUAUUCCCGUACUUGGUGUUACUGCGAAGGGGGGACGGAGAAGGCUAUGUUGGCCGGGCGACGGUUGUCCCGGUUUAAGCGUGUAGGCUGGUUUUCCAGGCAAAUCCGGAAAAUCAAG